UCAAGCAUGCCAUGGAGCUUCCAUUACACUGGAGAAUGCGGAGGCUUGAAGCAAGGUGGUACAUCGAUGUACAUGAAAGACAAGCGGAUUUGAACCCCAUUGUAUUACAGCUAGCAAAGUUGGACUUCAACAUUUUACAAGCACUGCAUCAAGAAGAACUCAAAGAUCUGUCAAGGUAUACCUAUAUAUCAACAUAAAUGAAACAUAAAAUUAUGUAAUUGGUUUUCAUGCCCUUCAAUUUACCUGCAAAGGUGGUGGAAGAACACUGGUCUUGGGGAGAUACUGAGGUUUGCUAGGAAUAGAUUGGUGGAAUCCUUCUUAUGGACAGUAGGGAUAGAUUUCGAGCCUCGGUUCGGAAGCUGCCGGAAAACUCUUACAAAG
rnacentral:lncRNA from 1 species